UACAGAGGGUGCAAGCGUUAAUCGGAAUUACUGGGCGUAAAGCGCGCGUAGGUGGUUUGUUAAGUUGGAUGUGAAAUCCCCGGGCUCAACCUGGGAACUGCAUCCAAAACUGGCAAGCUAGAGUAUGGUAGAGGGUGGUGGAAUUUCCUGUGUAGCGGUGAAAUGCGUAGAUAUAGGAGGAACACCAGUGGCGAAGGCGACCACCUGGACUGAUACUGACACUGAGGUGCGAAGCGUGGGAGCAAACAGGA
rnacentral:rRNA from 1 species